rnacentral:rRNA from 1 species
CCGUGAGGGAUGAAGGCCUUCGGGUUGGUAAACCUCUUUCAGCAGGGACGGAAGCGAAAGUGACGGUACCUGCAGAAGAAAGCACCGGCUAACUACGUGC